rnacentral:ncRNA from 1 species
UAUUACUUUCGGUUCCUGAUUUCUUCAGGCAAAAGGGAAGUCGGUGAGAUUCCGGCACGGUCCCGCCGCUGUAAGCGGGGACGAAAUCCGCACUAGGCCACUCUGCAGUAAGUUAAACAAAGGCGAAAUUGCAGGGGAAGGCGCGGAGAAUAGGUGGAUCCGCGAGUCAGAAGACCUGCCGAAAGUA